AACCCAUGCGGAGGACAUUUCCGAGGAGAUCCUUGAACCUAACCCCAUGUCUCAAAAAGAGACUCCAAUUCUGUUUACAUAAAAGAGGAUAUUUCAUUCCUGUGCUU